GUGUCAGCCGCCGCGGUAAUACGGAGGGUGCAAGCGUUAUCCGGAUUUACUGGGUUUAAAGGGUGUGUAGGCGGGCUUUUAAGUCAGUGGUGAAAUCUCCGGGCUCAACCUGGAAACUGCCAUUGAUACUAUUAGUCUUGAAUAUUGUUGAGGUAGGCGGAAUAAGUCAUGUAGCGGUGAAAUGCAUAGAUAUGACUUAGAACACCAAUUGCGCAGGCAGCUUACUAAGCAAUGAUUGACGCUGAGGCACGAAAGCGUGGGGAUCAAACAGGAUUAGAUACCCCGGUAGUCC
rnacentral:rRNA from 1 species